UAGGGAAUCUUCGGCAAUGGACGAAAGUCUGACCGAGCAACGCCGCGUGAGUGAAGAAGGUUUUCGGAUCGUAAAACUCUGUUGGUAGGGAAGAACGUUGGUGAGAGUGGAAAGCUCAUCAAGUGACGGUAACUACCCAGAAAGGGACGGCUAACUACGUGACAG
rnacentral:rRNA from 1 species